rnacentral:tRNA from 1 species
GAGGGUAUAGCUCAGUGGUAGAGCAUGUGCUUAGCAUGCACAAGGUCCUGGGUUCAAUCCUGAGUACUUCCA